rnacentral:lncRNA from 1 species
UCCAGAAGGCUCAGAAUCAUAUCCUCACAUGUUCCUUUUUUUGCUUCAACUUCUCUGAGUGACUGACUACCUUCUGCUUCUCAGGCAAAAAGGAGUACACCUGGCAUUCAUGCUGUGCUUCACAGCUAGUAACACCACUUCCAGCUGUGCUUGGUAUGAAUUUGGAAGUCUGACUGAAACAGAGAAAUGCCCUCAACUUGAGUCAAGAUAUCUGCAAGAUUGGAUGACAAUGGCCCAGGUAAGUGUAAUGUUCAUACUUUGAGGUCUUUGUAUAGAAAGAACCAUGUGCUUUCUUCUUCUCCCAGCUCAUUGAGGUGUAGUGUUCUUUUACAGGAAUAAUUUUGA